rnacentral:rRNA from 15 species
GCACGAAUGGAGUAACGAUAGCCCCACUGUCUCCUUCCGAGGCUCAGUGAAAUUGAAAUCGCUGUGACGAUGCAGUGUUCCCGCGGCAAGACGGAAAGACCCCGUGAACCUUCACUACAACUUUACAUUGGACUUUGAAAUUGCUUGUGUAGGAUAGGUGGGAGGCAUUGAAGUCAGGACGCUAGUCUUGAUGGAGUCAACCUUGAAAUACCACCCUGGUAAUUUCGGAGUUCUAACCUCGAUCGGUAUAUCCCGGUCAGGGACAAUGUAUGGUGGGUAGUUUGACUGGGGCGGUCUCCUCCCAAAGAGUAACGGAGGAGUGCGAAGGUAACCUCAGCGCGGUCGGAAAUCGCGCAGUGAGUGCAUAGGCAUAAGGUUGCUUGACUGCAAGACAAACAAGUCGAGCAGGUACGAAAGUAGGUCUAAGUG